UACGUAGGGUGCAAGCGUUGUCCGGAAUUAUUGGGCGUAAAGAGCUCGUAGGCGGUCUGUCGCGUCGGCUGUGAAAACCCGGAGCUCAACUCCGGGCCUGCAGUCGAUACGGGCAGACUGGAGUUCGGCAGGGGAGACUGGAAUUCCUGGUGUAGCGGUGAAAUGCGCAGAUAUCAGGAGGAACACCGGUGGCGAAGGCGGGUCUCUGGGCCGAUACUGACGCUGAGGAGCGAAAGCGUAGGGAGCGAACAGG
rnacentral:rRNA from 1 species